rnacentral:rRNA from 1 species
UAGGGAAUCUUCCACAAUGGACGCAAGUCUGAUGGAGCAACGCCGCGUGAGUGAAGAAGGUUUUUCGGACCGUAAAGCUCUGUUGUUGGUGAAGAAGGAUAGAGGUAGUAACUGGCCUUUAUUUGACGGUAAUCAACCAGAAAGUCACGGCUAACUACGUGCCAGCAGCCGCGGUAAUACGUAGGUGGCAAGCGUUGUCCGGAUUUAUUGGGCGUAAAGCGAGCGCAGGCGGAAGAAUAAGUCUGAUGUGAAAGCCCUCGGCUUAACCGAGGAAUUGCAUCGGAAACUGUUUU